rnacentral:tRNA from 3 species
GCUCCGAUAGCUCAGCUGGAUAGAGUACUGGACUUCGAAUCCAGGUGUCGCAGGUUCGAAUCCUGCUCGGAGCA